rnacentral:rRNA from 1 species
AGUAACGCGUAAACAAUCUGCCCUUCGGAUGGGGAUAACAGCCGGAAACGGCUGCUAAUACCGAAUACGAUCUUUUCGUCGCAUGACGGAAAGAAGAAAGGAUGGCCUCUAUACAAAGCUAUCGCCGAAGGAGGGGUUUGCGUCUGAUUAGCUGGUUGGAGGGGUAACGGCCCAACAAGGCGAUGAUCAGUAGCCGGUCUGAGAGGAUGAACGGCCACAUUGGGACUGAGACACGGCCCAGACUCCUACGGGAGGCAGCAGGG